GAUGAACGCUGGCGGCGUGCCUAAUACAUGCAGGUCGAGCGAACGGACGAGAGGCUUGCUUCUCUGAUGUUAGCGGCGGACGGGUGAGUAACACGUGGAUAACCUACCUAUAAGACUGGGAUAACUUCGGGAAACCGGAGCUAAUACCGGAUGAUAUUUUGAACCGCAUGGUUCAAAAGUGAAAGACGGUCUUGCUGUCACUUAUAGAUGGAUCCGCGCUGCAUUAGCUAGUUGGUAAGGUAACGGCUUACCAAGGCAACGAUGCAUAGCCGACCUGAGAGGGUGAUCGGCCACACUGGAACUGAGACACGGUCCAGACUCCUACGGGAGGCAGCAGUAGGGAAUCUGCCGCAAUGGGCGAAAGCCUGACGGAGCAACGCCGCGUGAGUGAUGAAGGUCUUCGGAUCGUAAAACUCUGUUAUUAGGGAAGAACAUAUGUGUAAGUAACUGUGCACAUCUUGACGGUACCUAAUCAGAAAGCCACGGCUAACUACGUG
rnacentral:rRNA from 1 species